AAUUAAAAAAAUAACCUGAAUUUUGUGGUUUUUUAAAAGCUCGUGUUCAAAUGCUGGCUGUUUAUAUAUAUCUACACAUUCGACACUUUCUUUAUCUGAAGUCUAAAAAAAAACAUAUAUUAGCAUAACUAUUUAAACUCACAAACGAUAGAAUAUAACUAUUUAAGCUCACAAACUUAUUUCACUGGUUAAACUUCGUUUUCAUAGCUUUUCGUCCACAUUAAUAAAUAAACUUGUGCAUGAAAAAAGUGAAGAUAAUUAUGAGUAUAAGCAUAUUUAGUAAUUAAAAAUGUUCCAACAAGAAAUGGGAAAAAGGUUGAAAGAAUGGGGAAAAUAUGGUCCAAACAAAGAGGAGGAAACGAUUGUGACAAAGCUGAAAGAGAGAAAACAAUCAAUAUUCCUUUAAAAAAACACCUGAUGAGUAGUAUAUCAUUUUGCAGAAAUAAAGGCUUCGAAUGGAAGAUGCGGUUUAAGCAGAGCAGAUCAAGCGGUUCAACCAGAUCAAGCAGAACAAAAGCAGAUCAAGCAGAUCUAGCGGUACAAGUGCAGAUCAAGCGGGUCAAACACUUUAAGAUAUUUGUUGAAUGGUAACACAAAUAAAAUAUUGCAGAGCAGAUAUUUAUAUAAUAAAAUAUAUUAAAUUUUUUGAAAUAGUUUUUUUAAUUAAGCAUUAAAUUAAUUUUAUGAAUCCAAAAUACUUUAUUUUGAAUCUUAUAUUGUAAAUUUAAAUAAAAUAAUUUAUACAUACUAUAAUAAAAUAUUAAAUAAAACUUGUAAUAACUUACCUUAUUUCAUUUUAUUGUUAUUAUAGCAAUGUUAUUUAGUGUUUACAUACGAAUUGAUAACAUGAUGUAAAUUAUUUUU
rnacentral:sRNA from 1 species